CGCCUUAUAAUCAAAAAAAAAAAAAGCACCACGGAGAACAUAAAAAAUUUGAUAUAAAGUAUAUUAUCUUAUGUGAUUGAUCCAUAUACCCAUCACUUUUUUAACGUGCAUUUAAUAUCCAUCGUUCUUUCUUAUAAAAAUUUUGAAUGAUGAAAAUAUCUUUGCUCUUUUAAAAAAUAUGACAUCUUAUGUUUAUAUUAUGACAUCUUGCGUGUAGGAAAUCAUA
rnacentral:lncRNA from 1 species